rnacentral:ncRNA from 1 species
CUUAAUUUGACUCAACACGGGGAAACUUACCAGGUCCAGACAUAGUAAGGAUUGACAGACUGAGAGCUCUUUCGAAAUUUUUUUUUUUUCGAGGUGAAUGUGAAUCUUUAUUCCAAGUAAACAAAAUAAUACAUGAUACACUAGGGCAUACCCUAGGAUG